GCUGGUAACCAGAAUCAUCUCCGGAAAUCGUGUGGCACGAACUGUUUGGACGCGAGAGCAGAGCGAACACUGGUGGCUGUAUAUUGUAAGAGAGACGUUCAACCCUCAGCAAUGGAUC